rnacentral:lncRNA from 10 species
CAUGCUAGUUCCAAAAGAUACUCCUUAAAAAAGAGUUCGAUAGUCAAAACGUUGCUUCCAGAAGAAGACUGUCUCAUUACUGUUACAUCUCUGGCCCUGGAGUAGCCCCUGGCAAAUAUGUACUCAGUACAUGUUUGCGAGACGCAUGGACUUGUAGAACAGUUCCACAGCUGUCCAUCACUGAUGUUCCAUACCUAGCGAUGCGGCCCCUCGAAACGCACUGGAGAGCUGGGCAGACCAAGGAUAAUUUCACAGGUAAGUCAGAUAGAGCCUGGGGAGGUGCAGCGAUUGGCCUAGGCUCCGAGACUGAUGACCCGGGAAGCUGGGGCCUGCGCUCUGCUCUGUGGCUCGGCAUGCUGUGCAGCUGACCUGAGCAGCUCUUGAGGAGUCACUGCUCA